rnacentral:rRNA from 1 species
UACGUAGGGGGCAAGCGUUGUCCGGAUUUAUUGGGCGUAAAGAGCGUGUAGGCGGCCAGACAGGUCAGCUGUGAAAACUCGAGGCUCAACCUCGAGACGUCGGUUGAAACCGUCUGGCUAGAGUCCGGAAGAGGAGAGUGGAAUUCCUGGUGUAGCGGUGAAAUGCGCAGAUAUCAGGAAGAACACCCGUGGCUAAGGCGGCUCUCUAGUACGGUACUGACGCUGAGACGCGAAAGCGUGGGGAGCGAACAGG